GAGUGGUAAAGAUUUUAAUUCCUCAAAAAUGAAGAAAACAAAAUAAUUCUACAAUAAUUCAAGUCUCUAGUAGGCAAGGAAGAACAAAUGCAGUCAAGAGAAGAAUGGAAUAACUGCUACAUUCAGAAAAUACUUUCAGAAGUUGUUACGAAGAAACUUGUUGAUUUAUUUAUCCAAGAGUGGAACAUUAAUUACAAAACAUCGCACGGAGAAUGGGAAAAUACAAACGUCAGUGGUCAGAAGUUGUUCAACAUUGAAAAAACAAAAAAAAGAUUUCGUGAUGAAAAAAUGUUGUUAAAACUUAAAGAUGGUGACACAAGUAAGUGGGAUUGCACGACAAUAUGUAAAGCAAUAUUGUUUACCCACUCAAUUGGAACAAACAUUAAUGAUAAAGUUAAAGCUGCUGUGGAAAAACUUCGUGAUGUAAGAAACGAUUUCACCCAUGUAAAUCCAGGAAAAAAAUUUGAUACUGAAUUUGACAAAUUGCUUUGUGAUAUUGAGCAGUCAUUUAAAGAUCUAGCAUUUUCAUUCACUGAAAUUAAUGAAAUUAAAUGUCAACGAAACAUAUUU